GUGGCAGGCGGUUGGGAUUCGAUGGGUGGAAAAUUAACGGAGCCGAAUUCAAGUGCCGGAUUGAUUCAAGUGCCUGCAGCGCGUCACCGGUGGCCUUGGAGGCGGGGCUGCGAUCUGGGCGCGGGAUUAGGGGCGUGGCCGGAGUUAGGCGGUUUCGCCCAGAUAAAAAAUAAACGUAACAUGACAAUCAAUCAUGUUUCCACUAUCAACUGACUUUUGAUUUCCGAUACUAAUCGGGAGCACUGCCAAAUUCCAUUUCCGUGCAAAAGGCUAGGUUAUAAUAAUAAUUCUUAUUCGAAUGUCUUGGGUUAGAACUUGAUAAUGAUAUUGUGUCAUAAAUGAAAUGAAAACUACUGUCAUCGGUACAGUCUUGAAUCAUACUAAAAACUGGCAUAAAAAAUUCCAUCUUUCGUCAUACAAUUUGAAUCACUAUCCUUUUAUAUUUCUGUAUUUUACAAUGCAACCAUUAUGGGCAGUUAAGGGUUCAAAGUUCAUCGAUAAUGUAAGUGGAUCCCCUAUCGAGAUGAUGUCGAACCGAAAACGUCAGCAGUUUCACUUAGUUGAUAUCGGUAUCGAAUCGCAGCUUAUCGCACCAGACGAGGGACUUGCUCCCCCGGACGGGAUCGACUCCAAUCGAAUCGGAUCGGAUCGGAAUGGAUCGGAUUCAUGUCUCUGGGGUGGGCGUGUGGAAUCAGCGAAUUUGAUGCGUUCGCAAGUGGCCGUGAAAUGGGCAUGUAGCUAUGUACAUACAUACGUACAUAUGCAUGCUUGUAUUGUUCGCAUGGCAGUAUGUACAUAUGUAUGUACAUAAGCCGGUCGGAGCGAAAUACUCCGCAAUAAAUAAGUGUGCUUAAGUAAUUGCAUUGACCGAUGGCCCCAUUGAGCAAAUAAGUCAACAAAAACACAGAACUACUCGACGAAAUGCUGGCAACACGGUAGCACGUUUGGCGAAAGAUGAACCAUGAAAUUAUUUCAGAUACCAUAUAUUUUUUUUAGAGUGCCAUAGACCGGAACAGGAGUUCCAGUAGCGAGUGUGAGCUACAUUGGCGGACAGUUACAUUCCCAGCCUUAUAUGACCUCAUCCACCCAGCAAAUCCAAUGCGUUAUCCAACUGGCCAUCCAACUGGCAUUUCAUAUGGGCAAGUCAACGUUGGCGAGGCGACAGAAGGAGCAACAGGAGCCAGCUAUCGACCAAAUAACACGUGUCCUAACGACUCAAAGCCCCCGAUAGUCGAAGGUGGGGUAAUACUAGGUCGGGAAAGGUAGUACUUGUACUUAAGUACACAUGUAUGCGUAUCUUCGGGUUUAAUUAAAUGUGGAGCGUUCUAUUUUUAUGCGACAAAUAUCAAUUUGCAAUUGGGUGACAUGCAGGCGAAUAAAAUGUAAACAGAAAAACAUAUAUAGUAGUAUAUAUAGUAUAGUAAAUAUUCGUUAUGUACAAGAUUAAUGUUAGGCUUUGAGGAAGAGUUCAUAAAAUCAAAGGAUCUAAGCGAUACCCUUUAUUUUUGAUUAAUAUCAUUUUUUGUUUACAUUAACGCAUGUUUCGCAUGCCCAACAGAUGGCGCUAUCUUGCCAAUCUAUGCUCCCUAUUC